UACGAAGAGGGCUAGCGUUGCUCGGAAUCACUGGGCGUAAAGGGUGCGUAGGCGGGUUUUUAAGUCAGGGGUGAAAUCCUGGAGCUCAACUCCAGAACUGCCUUUGAUACUGAAGAUCUUGAGUCCGGGAGAGGUGAGUGGAACUGCGAGUGUAGAGGUGAAAUUCGUAGAUAUUCGCAAGAACACCAGUGGCGAAGGCGGCUCACUGGCCCGGUACUGACGCUGAGGUGCGAAAGCGUGGGGAGCAAACAGG
rnacentral:rRNA from 1 species